UUUCCUGAAAAUUAAGUCGAAAUUAAUCACAGACCUAAAUGUAAAAUGCAAAACUAUAAAACUUCUAUAAGAUAACAGAGAGGAAAAUCUAGGUGACCUUGGGUUUGAUGAAGACUUUUUAGAUAUAACACCAAA